AUUGAACGCUGGCGGCAGGCCUAACACAUGCAAGUCGAGCGGGGUUUUCGGACCUAGCGGCGGACGGGUGAGUAAUGCGUAGGAAGCUACCCGAUAGAGGGGGAUACCAGUUGGAAACGACUGUUAAUACCGCAUAAUGUCUACGGACCAAAGUGUGGGACCUUCGGGCCACAUGCUAUCGGAUGCGCCUACGUGGGAUUAGCUAGUUGGUGAGGUAAUGGCUCACCAAGGCGACGAUCCCUAGCUGGUUUGAGAGGAUGAUCAGACACACUGGAACGGAGCCACGGUAGAGACUCCUGCGGGAAGCAGCGGAGGGGAAUAUUGGACAAUGGGCGCAAGCCUGAUCCAGCAAUGCCGCGUGUGUGAAGAAGGCCUGCGGGUUGUAAAGCACUUUGAGUAGGAAAGAAGGGCGGGGUGUUAAUACCAUCUUGCAUUGACGUUACCUGCAGAACAAGCACCGGCUAACUCCGUGCCAGCCGCCGCCGUAACAC
rnacentral:rRNA from 1 species